CAAUCCUCAAGCCUGGCUUGGUAUUGGGGCCUGCUGUUACCGGCAGCCCUUAAAAUCAGUGGCGGUGCCAUCUGGCUCUAAGCGUAGUAAUACUCCUCGCUACAGGGCCUGGUGUGGGUGCCUGCCAUCAACCCCUAAUUUUCUAA
rnacentral:misc_RNA from 1 species